UUUCUAGCAUUUCCCUUUGAGUAGUCGUGCUGAGUGGACGUGUGUUUUUAAACGUUCUGUGUCUGGAAAGUUGUAUAACCAGAUAGUGAUAUAGCGCGCUGGCUAACUAUUCGGCAGCAAAAGAGUCGCAAAACGUGUGCAAACCUGUUAUACAUACAUAGAUUGUAAUGAAAAAUGUGAAGGCUGUGAAGAGUGUGAUAUGAAGAGGACGAGCAAAUGGCCUUCGUAAGCGAGUAGUGUGAGUCAUGGGAGACUGCCGUAUGUCAACGCUCACCAAAAAGAAGCCUUUGGUCCGGAAUUCACACUCGUUUUCCUGCUCCUCGAAACGUUAAUGGCAACGAUGAGGAGGAACGGAACACUUGACAAACAUCCGCAUCAAGAACGAAAUCGAACUGACACACAAACCAACCAAUCGAUGGGCAAAUUGUCGGUACCUACCAUCGCGCGUCAGUCAAUAAUCGUUUCCAAGAAUUUCGUUUCUAUAACUGAGAGAGUCUUCACGUCUGUCCGUCUUCCGUCAACCACAAUGGCAGCGACUUGCAAGCCAGCCGAUCCUACACAGUUCGCAGCGGCAGCAGCAGCAGCAGCAGCGGCAGCAGCAAACACCACCGAGUCUCCCUUGCCCAAAAUGCCAGAUGCAGCUGACAAGUAAAAUGGGGACAAGGCGGAAUUGCGCGCGGCAGCAGCAGCAGCAGCAGCUUUAGCUCAACAGCAAGCAAACACGUGUGUGCCUUAUGCCUCCUGGUCGGUUACCAUCACAACUAUCACUACCUACUCUACAUAAAGCGGUCAGCAGUUGCUGACGGCGCAUCCACCACCAACCCACACAGAUAUCUCUGCAUACACGCGGUAUUCGUAUAUCAGCUGCGAACGCAAAAACAAUUACUUUUUGAAACAGAUUUACAGCACAAGGAGCACGAAAGAAAGCAUCCAUCAACGUCGUCAUCAUUGGAAUUUCUCUUAAAUUACACAGUUAUCUUGAAGGUCUGUCAUCAUCGUCAACGUCUACGUCUUCACUUUGGGUUCGUCGUAUUUUCAUCUGUGUCCUUCGUUUUAUUCUGCUGGCACGUAAGCCGUAUCGAAUUUUUCUCCUUGAAUAACUCUUGAAUUACAGUCAUAAUUGCAAAGCAGUCGGUUCUUGCACAAGUCUACAAAUUGAUAGAGGAGUAAUAAUCGAGCACACUUGCGUUUUAUGAGUCUAUGCGUCGCUCAUUAUAGGAAGAAGUUUGAAAUUUUACCCCAAAAUUGUUACGCAUAAAUACGUGGGCUUCAAUUUUUUUGUAGCGAUGCGUCACAGUUGAACAGUGCCUGUGAGCGUCGGAUUUCAUCAGCGGGACCUCGCAUCCUUUCUAGGCUUUGCACUCAUGGGGUGUCGAGAGUGGAAGAUCAACCACAGAGUGUCGUCGUCUGCCGUUUAACGCAAGCAAUAUGGAUGCACCCGAACUUUAUCCUCUUGUCUAGGAAAAAGACUAUUUUUCGUUUACUAUAUUUUUAGAGAAACGUCGCAGUUGAACGGUGCCUGCGUGCGUCUGUAAGGAAGUUAUCAAGAAAAUAUGUCGAUGAGAUAUCGCAACCAUCAAUUUUCCUAUCAAAUCAUUGCAAUUUUAGUGGGCUGCUCAAUGUCAGUACGCCAGGAGCACAAGUCGACAUAAUCAAAUGGCAAAGCGUAACUCGUUUGUUAUUCUUAACAUGCACAAAAUGUUGCGUUUGUUUCUCUUUUAGAAUAUUGAGCCCAUGAUAUAGAUGCGCACAAUCACAAACGAUACACAUGUCUGUUGAAAAAGAGCUGAAACCUUGAAACUGUUUACAGUCUUGCCGGAUCGGAUAGCGUAACUUUUAUAAUUAGUACUCUUAAAAUUUGGCUUCCGUAGCCAACUACAAACUUUGAUCGUACACUUGUUUAUGAUUUCCAGCCAUGGACUGGCUGCCAAAGCCUAUAUCUAACGAGAGCGAGGUGGAUAUGUUAUCCUGCACGUAAUGUUCGGAGGAUCCUGUUCAGAACUAUAUAGCAGAGAGAAUCAAACGAGAAAAGCGUAAAUUUUGAGCUUAUCCACACAAAAACAUAUCUUUUUGUAUUUUAUAGCAAUAUGACGCAGUUGAACUGUGCCUGCGCAUAUUGGAAUUAGUUAGACCCAUAAAUUGGGCAAUACUUGUAAGAGUUCAGCGAGGAAGCGUCAUCUUAAAGGAUUUUCACGUAAACUAUUUGAAUAUCCCUGUGCACAAAUCUUCCUUUUUCGUAUCUUGUAGCUAUAUAUAACCGCAGUUGAAUGUGCCUGCGCAUAUCUGUCGGUAGCUGCUUCACAAUGAUAAAAGGGAAAAAGGGACCGUUUCGGCGAAGAAAUCAAGAUUUGGUUCUUUACCGGUGGAAACCAACCCCCUCUAUAAUCGUCAACUGCAAAAAUGGAUUUGUUACCUUUACUUUUUCUUCCCCUAGCUUGAUUUUCUAAGCAUAUUAUGUAUUAAUUGCAGUGGUUGCGUUUUUGGUUGAUGUUCGGAUGUUCACAAAACACACAUUAACUCCAAUGAAUACCUGUAGCAAAAUUUGUUGAGGCAAUGGGAAUCAAAUGCCAACUUGAAAGCAAUAAACACAUCGAUACGAACCGAAUUCCAACAUCAAUGUCGAUAAACCGAAACCGAACUGUUGUCAAGGUCAGCCCGACACUGAAUACAUCUUGAAUUGCUUAAACCUGUUUUACAGCCAAGCGAAAAGACGAUACUGAGUACACGAAUAAUACCUUCAUAAAGGCAGCAACACUUGUCAUCGUUUUUAGAGCGAGGAUAAUAGGCAUGCCCCCCACUUCUGUCACUUCGGAUUCAAGUCAAAGCGUGAGACAUUUGCGUUCGCUUAUCAUUUGCUUUGCACUUUCACUUUUGCAGCGAAUGCAUUGCUUGUGCGCAUAUACCUUUUACUGCCAAUUGCGUUUUUUGGACCGGUCUGGAAGCGGCCGAUGUACACAAACAAACCACCUUUUCUCCAUCUCCAAACUACUACUAGCUCUCACACUGCAAAAUCGUUAAAGGGAAUCAAGAACGAUACAUCAAGUUCAUCCAGCUAGGCAAAUCGUCAAGCAAUGCCAGCACCAACACCACCACCACAACAACAAAAUAUGUUACAGCUGCCUUGAUGGCCAGAGAGUUGCAGAUCUCUAAAUAGAUCGAUCACUCGCUCACAACGUACAAUGUACAAUUAACGUUUUUACAUUACAGAAAACGUAAGCUGCAAAAUAAUGGCUGUGUUGGGUGGUUGGCGCUCUGGCGCCACACAGACAGCUCCUGCGCUCACAAUCCAACCACUUGAGCGGAGCCAGACUCUGUUCUCACUCCGCCGAGGAGGCAUCCCAACCUAGCUCGGCAGGCCAGCCUGGGUCAGCUCAGCCAGCAGCACGUAAUGCAUUGCACCGCAUAGAAAUAUGCGCUCGGUCCGCGCUAAAGGGAAACAAAUGCGUUUGGACCGAGACCCGCCACACCACAAAAUACCAGCAGUCGCUAAUGAGGCGAGCUGAUGUGUUGUCGUUGUUAUCGGGCAGCUGCCUGCAAGUACGCUACGUCAUCGUCGCAACAGCGUCGCCGCCGCCUCCGCCACCUAUGUAGUAGAAGCAGCUGAGCCAGCUAUAACGACCCGAUCUAUGGAGCUCGUGGCUUAUCGCAAAAGGGAACCAAAUGCGACUAGUAUUCAAGCAGCAGAACGAAGAGCUGUGCAGAAACAGCAACAACAGCAGUCGAGGCAGACAGACGGCGGCUUUCAAUGGGCAGAGUUGACGGCGGUGGUAUUCGAGAUCAACUGGUUUUAUAAUCUGUUGCAAAUUAUCCGCUCAUUCUCACUCCACUUCAUAGGUAGCACACAUGUUUUAACAGAAAACUCCGGUUAUCAAAAUCCAUCGCAAAGGGAAUCAAAUGCGAUUAGUGUUCGAUGACGAAGAAGCUAGCUAGUCAGACCAGCUCUACGCUACGCUACGCUUCGAUUUGCCAGUUGAGCGCUUAACUCCUGGUGCACCGUUCAACAUUCCGCAAAAGGGAAUCAAUUGCGAGGUGGUACUGCAGCAACGCACGCACACACACACGCACACAGACACCCACCCACCCACACACAUUCACGCAUACAUGCGGAAUUUCCUGUUAUGUGGGGCAGUCCAACACGUCCCACUUGGCCCAAAGAGCAUCCAAAUGCGAUUAAGAGCAGCAGAAAGCAGGCAGGCGGCAGGCAGGGAAACGAUGCCCGCAGCGAAAGACAUCUACUUGUCGUCGUCGUCGUCAUCAUCAUUGUUCAUGUUGUUGUUGUUAGUGGUGUGUAUACAUUUUUCAGGUAAAUUCCAACCCAGCCGACUAGGACAGUUGUCUGUCGGUCUGCCCAGCACACGUACUACACGUCAAGUUGUUCUCGAAGGGAAUCCAUGAGACACGCGCUACAUCUGCAUACGACAUAUUAUUUUUCAAUGUAUUUUUUGUUUUUUUUUCUUCUAAGUUUAUUAUGUACUUACAUGAUCAUACAAUUAA
rnacentral:sRNA from 1 species